GACGAACGCUGGCGGCGUGCUUAACACAUGCAAGUCGAGCGGUAAGGCCCUUUCGGGGGUACACGAGCGGCGAACGGGUGAGUAACACGUGGGUGACCUGCCCUUAGCUCUGGGAUAAGCCCGGGAAACUGGGUCUAAUACCGGAUAUGACUCCAUGACGCAUGUUGUGGGGUGGAAAGCCUUGUGCGGCUGAGGAUGGGCCCGCGGCCUAUCAGCUUGUUGGUGGGGUGAUGGCCACCAAGGCGACGACGGGUAGCCGGCCUGAGAGGGCGACCGGCCACACUGGGACUGAGAUACGGCCCAGACUCCUACGGGAGGCAGCAGUGGGGAAUCUUGCGCAAUGGGCGAAAGCCUGACGCAGCGACGCCGCGUGAGGGAUGACAGCC
rnacentral:rRNA from 1 species